UGUGCCUGACAAUGCAUCACUGACCCUUUGAUUUGGGGGACAAGUCACUGCUUGUGCAUCCAUCUUGAUUUGAUGGCCAGAGAGAGGGCUGAUUGACCCCAUGACCUUCCUGGGUGGGGCGAUGCUGCUUGGGGCCUGGAGCUCUUGUCAGCGGGUUAAUGAGCAGCAGCUGCUUGGGGCACGCUGGGCCUUGGCUAAGUGACGGGGCCGGAUGACCACCCUCUGCUCUGACCCUUACGCCUCUCAGCUGACAUCAGUUAAACACCCCGUCCACCUCUGCCACCAGCACCAGUCUUUCUCCUGUCUUGUCCUUUCUCCCCUUUCCAGAGUGAAGCUCAGACUCAGGAUUUAAGCUCAGGUCAGCAGAUCUGGCUCACAAUACAACAGGCUUGUGUCUCAGUGCACGUGAAAUCUCAGGCCUUGCCACCGCCACCACGGCCAGCAAGCACAGCUGAAAGCAACCCCUCCCAGUGUGGUGGUUUGUUAAAGUGAACAAGAUCAGACGACCAUCCUGAGGUGAGCCGGCAGAGAUCCGAUGCCACUGGAGCACUUUGAUUACCCACCAGACUGACUGGCUGUUGGAUUUCUCACAGCUUGCGUACUUCUUUGGCUUUGCUCCCAAAGCACGACUGUGACACACACACACACACACACACACAGAGAGGCAACAGAAACACACUACUUCGUGCUAAAGGAAAGAAGAUUUGCUUGUUGUACUCUCAGAAGCUUAGCUAACCGUCUAAGCCUGACUUCAGCACUCAUACAGGUGCAAAGGACAAAGCAGGAGCUUUGAGACACUUACAGGGCAGAGCAGUACUUACUGGUCGCUCUUUAGGCUUUAGCAGUGGCUCCCAACGUUUUUGGUUUGUGACUCCUUACGAGAAUAGAUCAACCUUUUGGGAAAUACACAUCUUCACUUUCUUGCUUCAUAUUUAAGGGGCACGUAUGAGAAUGAUAUUCAUCUUCUCACCAAACUCUCAGUAAGAAAGUCAAUGAGGAAAAUGCAUUCCCCCAAAAUGUUCAACUAUUCCUCUAAAAUGAAAAGCCAUCUGCUCGUGAACCCUCGUCACUGGUCAUGACCUCAAUGUGGACGUGAGUAAGGAGCAUUUUCCUUCUCAAACUGUCUCAUUUGAAGGCUUUGGAGAGGUCAAAGUUUCUAAUCUUUGACAUAAAAAAAUGGAAAUUAGAUUGAACAGAAAACUUGUCAAUGUAGUGUCCAUGGUCUAGUGAUGAAGUUCCAAUUAUGGCUCUUUUUUUCCUCAAAAGAGUGGAUUGUUAAUGUGAUAUUAAUGCGAACUGAAGCUUUACCGCUGCGGCUCAGUUUACAUGACAAUAAAUGGUUCGGAGUCCUUUUUAUCCCUGCUCAAUUUAUUAUUAUUCAUGUGAUGUGCUGCAGCUAAAUCUUUCUCAUCUGGCUGCACAUGAGUCUUUUCUGUCCUGCUCAGAGUCAGGAUUUAAACCAAUAUUGGGGCUGUAGGGAUCCAAGUAUUUCUUUCAAAGCCUUUUCUCUUUUACCGUAUUGUCACUUUUCUGUCUGCGUGAUCACUAUCUUUCAUUUCUUUCAUUUGCUCUCUUGUUGCUUGUCUUUUUGGUCAGAGGCUGGUUAAUGUGGGUUUACCCAACCACCCAAGCGAUUAAUGUGGGCUUAUCCAUGCAUUUGUCAUCUACCCAUCCAUCCAGAAAUGAUUUUUGCAUCCACCCUCUCUGUCCUGCAUGUAAGCAUUCAUACCUAUAUACACCUACAAUACAGUGGGCUUUUUGUGUUUUGGUACUAUGGCCUAAAUUAGCACAGGAGAGAGAUCUGUAAAGUGAUUUCAGCAUUGCCUCUGAAGAGAAACUGAGAAAAAAAGGUGUCUUCUUGGAUCCCUCUCAGACAGAAACUUUGAUUUCAUGGUGUUGAUUAUUUUUCUUCGCAAUCACUCAAGGAUGAAGCAGAAGGACGCAGAGAUUGUUCCCUUUUCAGAUGCCCCGCAAUGGGACUCCUUGGUAAAAAAACAAAAAAAAAAAACCAAAAGAAACAACAAGGAGUUUCCCCCCUUCUCUUUCUUUUCUUUUUUUUCACAAUCCAACACUAUACAACUUACUUAAAGAAAGACAGAAGGGGCUUGAAGCAGCCAUGAGCUUAAAAACUGUUCUCUUUUGAGUCCUAAUUCUGUAGGAUGCAAAGAGUCUUUAACUGGUACCAAUAUGGCUGUCUGUCACUAAGUAAGAAAAACAUUUGAAAGCUUUAGAAGCAGGUUAAUUUGUUUUCACAGGGUUGUAAUGAUUCCUGGCAAUGUAGUGCUGUUCUGAUCCACGUUUGACUUAAGAAAAGUUUAAAUUUUUUAUGUAAAUGAAAACCUAAUUUUAACCAGGGUGAUUCUCUUCUUCCUGCACAACAACCCUUUUUAAUCCUGAUCUAUUUAAUCCAGUUGCCUAAAUGUAUGGAAAGAGUAAAACAUGGAUGAUGUUCUAUCCUGUUGUGAUACUUUCUUCUAUAACUCCUUGAGAUCUUGGAAAUUCAACUCUUUAAACAAAACAUCUUUGCUUUCCUUCAUUAUAAAACUGUGUACAUUGAAAAACACCUUUGUCUCAACAUUUUACUGAUGUUUUACUCUUUACAAGGUGCAGAGAUCUUCUUGAAUUCAGUAUUAAUUCACCAUGUAGUGCUGUGUGAAUCAAUGGAUUUGCUAAGUGCAAGUUUAUUUAAGUCAAAGGCAAGUGGCCCAGUGGAAUCAGGCCCAUGUCUGCCCCCACCUGUGACACCUGCUAACCCCAUAGAUGAACUGUUAAAAAGCCUUUCUGCACACCAGACAGAAGUUAUACAGUAUAGUGUUUUCACUAAAGCUGAUAGUACUGUAUGCACCAAAGAGUAAGCCUUUUGGAGCUUUAUUUUACAAAGUUUGAGCUC